GCGGAGGGAUCAUUACAGAAUGACCCCCUUCCUCCCGCUUAUCUGUUCACCUCCCUUUGUUGACCGACUCUGUGGCCCCCCGGGCGACCCUGCCUCCGGGCGGGGGCCCCGGGUGGACUUUUCAUACUCUUGCUUAACUUUUCAACCAGAGAAAAUUUAAUUUUCCAAUUAAAACAUUAAACCACCGAACUGUGGAUUCUGGCU
rnacentral:misc_RNA from 1 species